GACGAACGCUGGCGGCGUGCCUAAUACAUGCAAGUAGAACGCUGAAGGAGGAGCUUGCUUCUCUGGAUGAGUUGCGAACGGGUGAGUAACGCGUAGGUAACCUGCCUGGUAGCGGGGGAUAACUAUUGGAAACGAUAGCUAAUACCGCAUAAGAGUAGAUGUUGCAUGACAUUUGCUUGAAAGGUGCAAUUGCAUCACUACCAGAUGGACCUGCGUUGUAUUAGCUAGUUGGUGGGGUAAGGGCUCACCAAGGCGACGAUACAUAGCCGACCUGAGAGGGUGAUCGGCCACACUGGGACUGAGACACGGCUCCAGACUCCUACGGGAGGCAGCAGUAGGGAAUCUUCGGCAAUGGACGGAAGUCUGACCGAGCAACGCCGCGUGAGUGAAGAAGGUUUUCGGAUCGUAAAGCUCUGUUGUAAGAGAAGAACGAGUGUGAGAGUGGAAAGUUCAC
rnacentral:rRNA from 1 species